rnacentral:rRNA from 1 species
UGGGUGAUCUACUCUUUGGUGGGGAAUAACCCUGGGAAACCGGGGCUAAUACCGCAUAAGCCCCCAAGUCAAAUUGGGGGGAAAGGUGCAAAUCGCCGAAGAAGGAGCCCGCGUCUGAUUAGCUAGUUGGUGAGGUAACGGCUCACCAAGGCGACGAUCAGUAGCUGGUCUGAGAGGAUGAUCAGCCUCAUUGGGACUGAGACACGGCCCAAACUCCUACGGGAGGCAG